rnacentral:rRNA from 1 species
CCGGAGUGGACGCAUCACUGGUGUUCGGGUUGUCAUGCCAAUGGCACUGCCCGGUAGCUAAAUGCGGAAGAGAUAAGUGCUGAAAGCAUCUAAGCACGAAACUUGCCCCGAGAUGAGUUCUCCCUGAGACUUUAAGUCUCCUGAAGGAACGUUAAAGACGAUGACGUUGAUAGGCCGGGUGUGUAAGCGCAGCGAUGCGUUGAGCUAACCGGUACUAAUGAACCGUGAGGCUUAACCUU